GAUGAACGCUGGCGGUAUGCUUAAUACAUGCAAGUCGUACGAAGGCUUUUAGCCUUAGUGGCGGACGGGUGAGUAACACGUGAGAAUCUGCCCUUAGGAGGAGGAUAACAGCUGGAAACGGUUGCUAAUACUCCAUAUGCCGAGAGGUGAAAGGAUUUAUCUACCUAAGGAGGAGCUCGCGUCUGAUUAGCUAGUUGGUAGGGUAAUGGCCUACCAAGGCGACGAUCAGUAGCUGGUUUGAGAGGAUGAU
rnacentral:rRNA from 1 species